rnacentral:rRNA from 1 species
GGGUGCACGGGAUGGUCUAAGCCAUGCGAGUCAUUGUAGCAAUACAAGGCAGACGGCUCAGUAACGCGUAGUCAACCUACCCUAUGGACGGGAAUAACCUCGGGAAACUGAGAAUAAUACCCGAUAGAACAUUAUGCCUGGAAUGGUUUAUGUUUCAAAUGAUUUAUCGCCGUAGGAUGGGACUGCGGCCUAUCAGUUUGUUGGUGAGGUAAUGGCCCACCAAGACUAUUACAGGUACGGGCUCUGAGAGGAGUAGCCCGGAGAUGGGUACUGAGACACGGACCCAGGCCCUAUGGGGCGCAGCAGGCGAGAAAACUUUGCAAUGUGCGAAAGCACGACAAGGUUAAUCCGAGUGGUUUCUGCUAAAGGAACCUUUUGUCAGUCCUAGAAACACUGAUGAAUAAGGGGUGGGCAAGUUCUGGUGUCAGCCGCCGCGGUAAAACCAGCACCUCAAGUGGUCAGGAUGAUUAUUGGGCCUAAAGCAUCCGUAGCCGGCUCCGUAAGUUUUCGGUUAAAUCUGUACGCUCAACGUGCAGGCUGCCGGGAAUACUGUAGAGCUAGGGAGUGGGAGAGGUAGACGGUACUCGGUAGGAAGGGGUAAAAUCCUUUGAUCUAUUGAUGACCACCUGUGGCGAAGGCGGUCUACCAGAACACGUCCGACGGUGAGGGAUGAAAGCUGGGGGAGCAAACCGGAUUAGAUACCCGGGUAGUCCCAGCUGUAAACUAUGCAAACUCAGUGAUGCAUUGGCUUGUGGCCAAUGCAGUGCUGCAGGGAAGCCGUUAAGUUUGCCGCCUGGGAAGUACGUACGCAAGUAUGAAACUUAAAGGAAUUGGCGGGGGAGCACCACAAGGGGUGAAGCCUGCGGUUCAAUUGGAGUCAACGCCGGG